rnacentral:rRNA from 1 species
GUGUCAGCAGCCGCGGUAAUACAGAGGUCCCAAGCGUUGUUCGGAUUCACUGGGCGUAAAGGGUGCGUAGGUGGCCAGGUAAGUUUGAUGUGAAAGCUCGGAGCUUAACUCCGAAAUGGCAUUGAAUACUCUCUGGCUAGAGGUUUGGAGGGGAGACUGGAAUUCUCGGUGUAGCAGUGAAAUGCGUAGAUAUCGAGAGGAACACCAGUGGCGAAGGCGAGUCUCUGGACAACACCUGACACUGAGGCACGAAAGCUAGGGGAGCAAACAGGAUUAGAUACCCUGGUAGUCC